UUCACACUGGGUGGUUUUUGGAGGGUGUGGCAGGGUGGUGGGGCUGCAGAGAAGCAGCUACCAACAUCCACGGUCUCCAGUGUUCUGCCCAUGUGCUGUCUGUCCACUCCCUCAGCAGAACAUGCCUUCAAGGAAGACCCCAAGCUCAGCACUGUGGCAGAGCCCCUCCCCUCCACCCACUGAGCUUUGCUUUAUAGGGAGCAAAGGCCUCUGGAGCCCAAGGAGAGAGCUCUCAUAUCCCCAUCUCCAGUACCAGCUGGCAGCUGUGACAGGAUUCCCAGGCGAUGACCUCACAAACCUGUGCACUGUCAUUACAAUUGCCAGCACUGCCAGCCGGGAGCAGCAGAGCCCCCACUUCAGUGUGACCUACUUCUUCUGGCUCUGAAAUCACACUCUGAGAUUGCUGCCUCCUUCACUCCAAAGAAUGCACACACACGUUUGUAGGGAGAGCACAUUAAAGAGUCUCCGCCCCUCACAUCCCACUGAAAGCAAAAUCACACUGCAAGCAACUAUAGCUAAGUGUGGGGGUUGGAGAGAAGGAGUAAUGACUGUCAUGGAGGCAGGGAUUGCUCUCUGGGGUGUGGACAGACGCCCAGUGCCAA
rnacentral:lncRNA from 1 species